CUUCUAGAGAUGAGGACUCUGUUGUGUACAGUGGAGAGGAGAUCACAGCGGUCAUCACGGAUUGAAUGAUCACCGUUGGUGACACAGUUCCAAAGAUGAAACACAAAUUCCUGGAUCCACAGCCAUUUAGGUCUAUAACCAUUAUGGAACAGUGACUAAAAAGAGAGUGAAGGAAAGACAAGAAGUCACAAUGCAAUCAAUUUAAAAUGGUUUUACGGGGGCUGGUUCCACUUCCCAAUGCAAGAACUAGUGAGAAGCUGAGUUCUACUGUCUCCAGCUGCGAUGCCGCAUG